rnacentral:lncRNA from 1 species
AAAGGCAUACCUGUCUCUCAUGCAUUGCUGAGUGAAAGACCAGAUCGUUUGGAGAAGCAAGUCAUAUAACCUAAUCAAGAUGUGCAUGUGUGUGGAUGGUGGAUAUGGUGGAUGGUAUAUAGACUCCUUUUUUUGCAUGAUUCAUAUCUCUCCUUUGCCUUUUCUCUUGAGGCAUGGGCUAUCUAUUCUUUUUCUCUUUUUUUUCAUCAUGUUUUCAUGAGCAUGUACUUUAGUCUUUUUGCAUAGCCCAAGUCUCUUUUGUAAGGAUAACUUUGGAGAGAGAGAUUAUAAAAUAACAUGGAGCUUUAUUUUGUGGAUCGAUGAAAUGAUGAUUGCUAACUUCCAGUGUAG